CAGCACACAAUUACCCUCGUUCCAAUCACUGAAAUUCUUCACACAGAACUGCCAUUCAUAUUACAGUGUUUCACACAAACAUAGACUCAUUCUCUCUGCUGAACUACAAUCAGAUUUCAGCAUUCAAACUUUCUUCUUCUCAAAUAAUAUCAAUCACAUUUCCAUUCCAUAAUUCACUUCACAAUAUUCAGAAACUUUCAAUCCUCUUAUUCAAAGAAAAUAACAAACAAAAGAAAAGAAGUAGCACCAAGCUUAC
rnacentral:lncRNA from 1 species